rnacentral:rRNA from 1 species
AUUGAACGCUAGCGGGAUGCCUUACACAUGCAAGUCGAACGGAGUGGCGAACGGGUGCGUAAUGUAUCGGAACGUGCCCCGCAGCGGGGUAUAACUCCGCGAACGCGUAGCUAAUACCGCAUACUAUUGGAGCGGCCGAUAUCGGAUUAGCUAGUUGGUGGGGUAACGGCGUACCAAGGCGACGCUCCGUAGCUGGUUUUAGAGGACAACCAGCCACACGAGGACUGAGACAAGGCCCAGACGCCUACGGGGGGCAGCAGUGGGGAAUGUUGGACAAUGGGGGAAAGCCUGAGCCAGCCAUGCCGCGUGUGUGAUGAAGGCCUUCGGGUUGUAAAGCACUUUUGGCAGGAAAGCGGUACCUGCAGAAUAAGCACCGGCUAACUACGUGCCAGCCGCCGCGGUAAUAC